rnacentral:rRNA from 1 species
AUUGAACGCUGGCGGCAUGCCUUACACAUGCAAGUCGAACGGUAACAGGUCUUCGGAUGCUGACGAGUGGCGAACGGGUGAGUAAUACAUCGGAACGUGCCCGAUCGUGGGGGAUAACGAGGCGAAAGCUUUGCUAAUACCGCAUACGAUCUACGGAUGAAAGCGGGGGAUCUUCGGACCUCGCGCGGACGGAGCGGCCGAUGGCAGAUUAGGUAGUUGGUGGGGUAAAGGCUCACCAAGCCAACGAUCUGUAGCUGGUCUGAGAGGAUGAUCAGCCACACUGGGACUGAGACACGGCCCAGACUCCUACGGGAGGCAGCAGUGGGGAAUUUUGGACAAUGGGGGCAACCCUGACGCAGCGACGCCGCGUGAGUGAGGAAGGCCUUCGGUCGUAAGCUCUGUCAAGGAAGAAGUGCAUGGAGGUUAAGUACCCUUCACUGUUUGUACGGUACCCUUAAACGGUAAGACACCGGCUAACUCCGUGCCAGCAGCCGCGGUAAG